CAGCCGCCGCGGGAAUACGUAGGUGGCAAGCGUUGUCCGGAUUUAUUGGGCGUAAAGCGAGCGCAGGCGGUUCCUUAAGUCUGAUGUGAAAGCCCCCGGCUCAACCGGGGAGGGUCAUUGGAAACUGGGAUCUUGAGUGCAGAAGAGGAGAGUGGAAUUCCAUGUGUAGCGGUGAAAUGCGUAGAUAUAUGGAGGAACACCAGUGGCGAAGGCGACUCUCUGGUCUGUAACUGACGCUGAGGCUCGAAAGCGUGGGUAGCAAACAGGAUUAGAUACCCCCGUAGUCCCUGUCUCUUAUACA
rnacentral:rRNA from 1 species